ACCUGGAUAACCGUGGUAAUUCUAGAGCUAACACAUGCUAAAAACCUCGACUUCGGAAGGGGUGUAUUUAUUAGAUAAAAAACCAAUGCCCUUCGGGGCUCCUUGGUGAUUCAUAAUAACUUAACGAAUCGCAUGGCCUUGCGCCGGCGAUGGUUCAUUCAAAUUUCUGCCCUAUCAACUUUCGAUGGUAGGAUAGUGGCCUACCAUGGUCUUAACGGGUAACGGGGAAUUAGGGUUCUAUUCCGGAGAGGGAGCCUGAGAAACGGCUACCACAUCCAAGGAAGGCAGCAGGCGCGCAAGUUACCCAAUCCCAAUUCGGGGAGGUAGUGACAAUAAAUACUGAUACGGGGCUCUUUCGGGUCUCGUAAUUGGAAUGAGUACAAUCUAAAUCCCUUAACGAGGAACAAUUGGAGGGCAAGUCUGGUGCCAGCAGCCGCGGUAAUUCCAGCUCCAAUAGCGUAUAUUAAAGUUGUUGCCGUUAAAAAGCUCGUAGUUGAACCUUGGACCUGGCUGAUCUGUCCUCCUAAUCGAGCGCACGGAUUCGGUCGGGUCUUUCCUUCUGGGGAGCCCUAUGCCCUUCACUGGGUGUAGUGGGGAACCUGGACUUUUACCUUGAAGAAAUUAGAGUGUUCAAAGCAGGCCUUUGCUCGAAUACAUUAGCAUGGAAUAAUAGAAUAGGACAUCGGUUCUAUUUUGUUGGUUUCUAGGACCGCUGUAAUGAUUAAUAGGGAUAGUCGGGGGCGUCAGUAUUCAAUUGUCAGAGGUGAAAUUCUUGGAUUUAUUGAAGACUAACUACUGCGAAAGCAUUCGCCAAGGAUGUUUUCAUUAAUCAGUGAACGAAAGUUAGGGGAUCGAAGACGAUCAGAUACCGUCGUAGUCUUAACCAUAAACUAUGCCGACUAGGGAUCGGACGGUGGUUUUUUUAUGCCCCGUUCGGCACCUUACGAGAAAUCAAAGUUUUUGGGCUCGGGGGGGAGUAUGGUCGCAAGGCUGAAACUUAAAGAAAUUGACGGAAGGGCACCACCAGGCGUGGAGCCUGCGGCUUAAUUUGACCCAACACGGGGAGACUCACCAGGUCCAGACAUGCUUAGGAUUGACAGAUUGAUAGCUCUUUCUUGAUUGUAUGGGUGGUGGUGCAUGGCCGUUCUUAGUUGGUGGAGUGAUUUGUCUGCUUAAUUGCGAUAACGAACGAGACCUUGACCUGCUAAAUAGCCAGGUUGACUUUGUCGGCCGCCGGCUUCUUAGAGGGACUUUUGGCUCAAGCCAAUGGAAGUACGAGGCAAUAACAGGUCUGUGAUGCCCUUAGAUGUUCUGGGCCGCGCGCGCGCUACACUGACAGAGCCAGCGAGUACAUCACCUUGGCCGAAAGGUCUGGGUAAUCUUGUUAAACUCUGUCGUGCUGGGGAUAGAGCAUUGCAAUUAUUGCUCUUCAACGAGGAAUGCCUAGUAAGCGCAAGUCAUCAGCUUGCGUUGAUUACGUCCCUGCCCUUUGUACACACCGCCCGUCGCUACUACCGAUUGAAUGGCUCAGUGAGGCCUUGGGACUGGCUCAGAGAGGUCGGCAACGACCACUCAGAGCCGGAAACUUGGUCAAACUUGGUCAUUUAGAGGAAGUAAAAGUCGUAACAAGGUCUCCGUAGGCGAACCUGCGGAAG
rnacentral:rRNA from 1 species